rnacentral:rRNA from 1 species
UACGUAGGGGGCUAGCGUUGUCCGGAAUCAUUGGGCGUAAAGAGCGCGCAGGCGGCCAGAUAAGUCCGGUGUGAAAGUCACAGGCUCAACCUGUGAAUGCCGCUGGAAACUGUCUGGCUAGAGUCCGGGAGGGGCGAGUGGAAUUCCUGGUGUAGCGGUGAAAUGCGCAGAUAUCAGGAGGAACACCAAUUGCGAAGGCAGCUCGCUGGGACGUUACUGACGCUGAGACGCGAAAGCGUGGGGAGCAAACAGG